AGUGAACGCUGGCGGCAGGCCUAACACAUGCAAGUCGAACGGCAGCACAGGGGAGCUUGCUCCCUGGGUGGCGAGUGGCGGACGGGUGAGGAAUACAUCGGAAUCUACCCUUUCGUGGGGGAUAACGUAGGGAAACUUACGCUAAUACCGCAUACGAUCUGAGGAUGAAAGCAGGGGACCGCAAGGCCUUGCGCGAUUGGAUGAGCCGAUGUCCGAUUAGCUAGUUGGCGGGGUAAAGGCCCACCAAGGCGACGAUCGGUAGCUGGUCUGAGAGGAUGAUCAGCCACACUGGAACUGAGACACGGUCCAGACUCCUACGGGAGGCAGCAGUGGGGAAUAUUGGACAAUGGGCGCAAGCCUGAUCCAGCCAUGCCGCGUGUGUGAAGAAGGCCUUCGGGUUGUAAAGCACUUUUGUUGGGAAAGAAAUCCUGUCGGCUAAUACCCGGCGGGGAUGACGGUACCCAAAGAAUAAGCACCGGCUAACUUCGUGCCAGCCGCCGCGGUAAUAC
rnacentral:rRNA from 1 species